GUUCUGGCCUUUCAUUGAUACUGUGUAGCAAUGUUUAGAGUUUUUCUGUAAAUAUGGUGAUUAAAGGGAAACUUUCAGCAGAGACCACCCCUUCUGUUUGUCAUUUUUUUAUUACUGCUUUUAAUUUAUUGAUUUUUUCAUAAUUUUGUAAAAUUUGUUAAUUUGAAUUUAGAUUUUUUUUUUUUUUUGCAGAGUUCACGAAAUCUUUUUUCCCCAGGUGGUCCUUGGAGAAAAUCUGCUGGUCC
rnacentral:lncRNA from 1 species